CAAGUUCUGAAAAUAUUUCCUGAGUAUGUUUGCCUCUUCCUGCCCACCUUGCCGCGUAAUCCUGUGACUCUGAGCAAGUCAGUGGCGAUUGAUGGCUGGGACUGGGUGGGGCUGAGACAGCGGUCAGAGAUGAGAGAGGAGAAGGAACGAGACUCCCUCCGCAGUGCUCCUCAACCAUGUCCUGGAGCUGAGCUUGUUGUUUUGUCUCACACCUCUUAAAAAAAAAACCAGAGGACAGGAGUGUGGAUUCCCGUUGACCAAGGCUGUCAGGUAGAGGAGUGUUUCUCAGGGGUUGAGCCUUCCCCCAGCCAGACUGGACCUAGCUGCUCCCUCCUCUCUGCUCCAUAGAACACUGGACAUCGAUUGUAGCACCUGUCAUGUCACAUUUUUCUCUGGCGUACUGUUCGUUUUUCUUGUAAAUACAAAGGUGAUACAUGCUUAUUGUAGAAAAUUUGGAAAAUAUAGACAUGUAUGAAUGAUAAAAUAAAGGUCUCCUGUAAUUGCCCA
rnacentral:lncRNA from 10 species